AAUGAACGCUGGCGGUGUGCCUAACACAUGCAAGUCGAGCGGACGGACGAUAAGCUCGUUCUCUUACGGGUAGCGAGUGACGGGCGGGUAAGGCAUGGAUCACCUACUACUUUUUCGUGGGUAAUUUCGUGAAGCCAGAUACGCUAACACCUCAUACGUCCUACCGGUGGGAUCAAGAGAGAUAGACGGCUUUCCCGUCUGUUUUAGACGGUUCCGCGCUGCAUUAGCUAGUUGGUAAGGUAACGGCUUACCAAGGCAACGAUGCAUAGCCGACCUGAGAGGGUGAUCGGCCACACUGGAACUGAGACACGGUCCAGACUCCUACGGGAGGCAGCAGUAGGGAAUCUUCCGCAAUGGGCGAAAGCCUGACGGAGCAACGCCGCGUGAGUGAUGAAGGUCUUCGGAUCGUAAAACUCUGUUAUUAGGGAAGAACAGAUGUGUAAGUAACUGUGCACAUCUUGACGGUACCUAAUCAGAAAGCCACGGCUAACUACGUG
rnacentral:rRNA from 1 species